rnacentral:rRNA from 1 species
GAUGAACGCUGGCGGCGUGCCUAAUACAUGCAAGUCGAGCGAACAGACGAGGAGCUUGCUCCUCUGACGUUAGCGGCGGACGGGUGAGUAACACGUGGAUAACCUACCUAUAAGACUGGGAUAACUUCGGGAAACCGGAGCUAAUACCGGAUAAUAUAUUGAACCGCAUGGUUCAAUAGUGAAAGACGGUUUUGCUGUCACUUAUAGAUGGAUCCGCGCCGCAUUAGCUAGUUGGUAAGGUAACGGCUUACCAAGGCGACGAUGCGUAGCCGACCUGAGAGGGUGAUCGGCCACACUGGAACUGAGACACGGUCCAGACUCCUAGGGGAGGCAGCAGUAGGGAAUCUUCCGCAAUGGGCGAAAGCCUGACGGAGCAACGCCGCGUGAGUGAUGAAGGUCUUCGGAUCGUAAAACUCUGUUAUUAGGGAAGAACAAAUGUGUAAGUACCUAUGCACGUCUUGACGGUACCUAAUCAGAAAGCCACGGCUAACUACGUG